rnacentral:rRNA from 1 species
UACAGAGGGUGCGAGCGUUAAUCGGAAUUACUGGGCGUAAAGCGCACGUAGGUGGCGACGUAAGUCGGGUGUGGAAGCCCCGGGCUCAACCUGGGAAUUGCAUUCGAGACUGCAUUGCUGGAGUACGGAAGAGGAAGGCGGAAUUCCCGGUGUAGCGGUGAAAUGCGUAGAUAUCGGGAGGAACAUCAGUGGCGAAGGCGGCCUUCUGGUCCAGUACUGACACUCAAGUGCGAAAGCGUGGGGAGCAAACAGG